rnacentral:miRNA from 1 species
CGCGCACCCGUUCAUCUUCGC